UGAAGUAACUGAGGACCAAAAAUCUAAGCGGGACUUUCAGUCUCAUCACUAUGGUUUUGAGCCCUGGUGAAAGUAAACAAAAAGUGUCCCUGCGACUGCC